rnacentral:pre_miRNA from 1 species
CCUUAUGGAUGAGCAAAAAAAGUGGUUUCUUGAGAUGGAAUCUACCCCUGGUGAAAGUGCUAUGAA